CGAAAUGCGAUAAGUAAUGUGAAUUGCAGAAUUCAGUGAAUCAUCGAAUCUUUGAACGCACCUUGCGCUCCUUGGUAUUCCUUGGAGCAUGCCUGUUUGAGUAUCAUGAAAUCUUCAAAGUAAAUCUUUUGUUAACUCAAUUGGUUUCUACUUUGGUAUUGGAGGUCUUUGCAGCUUCACACCUGCUCCUCUUUGUUCAUUAGCUGGAUCUCAGUGUUAUGCUUGGUUCCACUCGGCGUCAUAAGUUAUCUAUCGCUGAGGACACUGUAAAAGGUGGCCAAGGUAAAUGCAGAUGAACCGCUUCUAAUAGUCCAUUGACUUGGACAAUACUUUUAUGAUCUGAUCUCAAAUCAGGUAGGACUACCCGCUGAACUUAAGC
rnacentral:misc_RNA from 1 species